rnacentral:lncRNA from 1 species
UUCCCCACUUCCCCACCUCUGGGGCCUUGCUGUGAGAGGGAAUUGGUAUAACCUAAAUCCUGCCCUCUGCCGUUUUAGGAGUUACCCUUAGAAGGGACCAGUGUGGAGUUCCUGUUGUCUCACUCCCCUGGUCUCCAGGGUCAGGAGUCUGGCAGGUUCGAGUUGGGGGCAGGUGUCCCUGUCUCCUUUGUGGCUUCCAUCCACAUCACUCCAUCUCACCUGUGUCUUUGGUUCAGGGCCCAGAAAUGGCUGUUUUCCUGUUAGCAUCUCUGUUGCAAGGUGCGAAAUCCCCAGGGGUGGUGGGAAUUGAGACAGCUUCUCAGAGGAAGCACAGGUGACUUGUGGGGUGACUGGUCAUGGGAUGCUGAGACUGUCAUACCAGUUGCACUAGGCUGAGAUUCUGAUCAAUGUUCUCCAACGUGUGACCCGUGGCCACAGAGAUUUCAAAGAGAGGAAAGGCCCUCAUCUGCUCAAGUAAUUCAUUCAUCCAUUCAUCGAAUUCUUCAUUGAACAAAGACUUCCUGACUUUCCAGCCCUGUCAUUCAUAGGGCAAAGCACAAUGUACCUUGCAUGUGACAUUUGCUGCUGUUCAUAAAGACGCGGGACACCAGGCCACACAGACAGCCCCAGAAUCAGGACAAGCCCCUCACCGAGGCUGAUGCAGAAAUGUUCCAGGAAAUGGAGCCAGAAACGAGCUGGGUUUCCAUCAUAGCUUCAAAGGCUGGACCUGGAACAGACCCUCGUUAGUUCAACGCCUCUGCCCCUGGAAAGACCACACGAGGUCCUUGGGGGACCACCCUCGCCAGGUGAAAAUAGAUCCUCCUGCCAAACAGAAUCCAGGCUUUCCUUCUCUGAGGAGUCUGACAGAGUGCCCUUCAUUGCAUUUCAAUCAUUCAAGCUGCAGUUUGGGUGUUACCCACUGGUUCUGGUUUCCUUCACAUUUCAGACCUGGUAAGCUCAUCACUGAGGGGUUAGAGAGGGGCCCCUCCAGGUCAAGGAAGAUGGUCUGGGUGGGCUGGUGGUCGGCCCCCCGCGUCGGUACGGAGGAGCCAGGGAAUCAAUAUGCCCCAGUUGCAGCUGAAUUUUCUAGUCGAACCAAACCUCACCAAACCUCAUUCCCUUAUCUGUGAAAUGCAAUCCUACUUCCCAGAAUCACUGGGAAGAUUACGUGAAAUGAUAUAUGGGGAAGCCCCUUCUGAACUUUAAAACAUAGACAUGAAGUGUAGUAUGUAUCCGAUGUUUAUCUGUUUGCCAUCUCUCCCUUUGGGGACCUACCAGUCCCCCAUGUUCUCACUGGUGUGUCAAUCAUAACAGCAGGCCACGGGGAUAGGCAAGUGACCCAGGCCUGGACAAUCACCUCCUCCCUUGGGACCAGUGAUCAGACCAAGAACUGAGCACGUGACCCAAACAGGGCCAAUUAGAGUUCUUGCCUCCAAUUUAUAUAUUUGUGCUAAGAGAUUGAAAAAGCAAAAGAAAAGAUUGUGAUGCAGGGCAUUUGAAGGCUGUCUUCCCUGUCACAAGGGGACAGAAAGCCUUUCUGCCGAUGGAAUAGACAAAUGGAAAUGAGGUCUGGAUGCAGGGAGGCAGAUUUCUGACAGCCCCGGUUCCUGAUUCUGGCUCCUGGUGGUUGGAUACCUGCAGCCCUUCAUUCUUUGAACACUCACAGUUAUUUCCCACUUUGCAAGCCAACACUUUGCUUAAUUCGUUUGAGACGGUUUUCAUUUGUAUGCAACUAAAAAGGGUUAUUCCUGGUCAUUCAUUUUCUGUAGGUUUUCAUUUAUAAUUUAGUCAUUAAUAUAUUUAACAAAGACUUAUUGGCUACAGACACCAUUGUCGUACACAAAGAAUUUGAUCUCUCUUCUUGGUUCCUGGGAGGGAGCUUCUAAACCCUUGAAAGGAAUACAUUUGCUAUUCAUGGCAGGCUCUGGGACCACACCUGGGUGGAGGCUAAAAAGAUGACUCAGGAUGGGGGCGGUCCUUGUCACACUAGAGGGUAAGGUUUUGAGCUGUGUGACUUGGCCUGAAUGUUCCUCAGAGAGAGAUGGACGUUUGGAGAGAGAGUUCAGUCACAUGGCCAAGGAUUCAAUCAUCCCUUUCCACAUAAUAAAACCCCAAUAAAAAUUAUGGGCA